ensembl:lncRNA
GGGGUACCGGUACAGAGUCAAUGUGGAGGCUAUAUACAGGGGUACUGGUACAGAGUCAAUGUGGAGGCUAUAUACAGGGUGUUACGGUACAGAGUCAAUGUGGAGGCUAUAUACAGGGGGUACUGGUACAGAGUCAAUGUGGAGGCAAUAUACAGGGUGUUACGGUACAGAGUCAAUGUGGAGGCUAUAUACAGGGGGUACUGGUACAGAGUCAAUGUGGAGGCAAUAUACAGGGGGUACUGGUACAGAGUCAAUGUGGAGGCUAUAUACAGGGUGUUACGGUACAGAGUCAAUGUGGAGGCUAUAUACAGGGGGUCACAGAGUCAAUGUGGAGGCUAUAUACAGGGUGUUACGGUACAGAGUCAAUGUGGAGGCUAUAUACAGGGGGUACUGGUACAGAGUCAAUGUGGAGGUUAUAUACAGGGGGUACCGGUACAGAGUCAAUGUGGAGACUAUAUACAGGGGGUACCGUACAGAGUCAAUGUGGAGGCUAUAUACAGGGGUACUGGUACAGAGUCAAUAGUGAGGCUAUAUACAGGGGGUACCGGUACAGAGUCAAUGUGGAGGCUAUAUACAGGGGGUACCGGUACAGAGUCAAUGUGGAGGUUAUAUACAGGGUGUUACGGUACAGAGUCAAUGUGGAGGCUAUAUACAGGGGGUACCGGUACAGAGUCAAUGUGGAGGCUAUAUACAGGGGUACCGGUACAGAGUCAAUGUGGAGGCUAUAUACAGGGGGUACCGGUACAGAGUCAAUGUGGAGACUAUAUACAGGGUGUACCGGUACAGAGUCAAUGUGGAGGCUAUAUACAGGGGGUACCGGUACAGAGUCAAUGUGGAGGCUAUAUACAGGGGUACCGAUACAGAGUCAAUGUGGAGACUAUAUACAGGGGGUACCGGUACAGAGUCAAUGUGGAGGCUAUAUACAGGGGGUACCGAUACAGAGUCAAUGUGGAGACUAUAUACAGGGGGUACCGGUACAGAGUCAAUGUGGAGGCUAUAUACAGGGG